rnacentral:rRNA from 1 species
GGGCCCGCACAAGCGGUGGAGCAUGUGGUUUAAUUCGAUGAUACGCGAGGAACCUUACCAGGGCUUAAAUGUAGUGGGACAGGUCUAGAGAUAGACCCUUCUUCGGACUCAUUACAAGGUGCUGCAUGGUUGUCGUCAGCUCGUGCCGUGAGGUGUCAGGUUAAGUCCUAUAACGAGCGCAACCCCUACCGUUAGUUGCCAGCGUGUAAUGACGGGGACUCUAACGGAACUGCCGGUGCAAACCGUGAGGAAGGUGGGGACGACGUCAAAUCAUCACGGCCCUUACGUCCUGGCCACACACGUACUACAAUGGCCGAGACAAAGAGUCGCAAGUCUGCAAAGGCAAGCUAA